CGCAUGGGGGUUCUGCGAUCCCCUCACGAGGCGACAGGCCGAAGCAUCGCGUUCCGCUCCUCUUGAUUGAGAAGGGACGCUGUCAUG
rfam:Chelatococcus sp. CO-6, complete genome.